CCUCUGCUCUCCGCUCUGCUUCAGCUCAAACAGCUGCAGCAGAUCAACAGCUGGAACAGCCGCUGCCUCUGGUCGUCUUGGUGCCUUUGCACCACGGUGCUGCUGGAGGAAGCCCUGAUGCUGCACACUCUGAUGGAGGAAGAGCUGAUCUCAGAGUACAUGCUGCUCUUCAUUCCAGACUCAACCAGUGACCUGCAGGGAUCCAAGCAGCUGACCCAGGCCGUCCGCUGGCUGCUGGCCCGCUCUCCUCCCCCCCCCCCCCCCCCCCCCCC